rnacentral:rRNA from 1 species
UACGGAGGGAGCUAGCGUUGUUCGGAAUUACUGGGCGUAAAGCGCGCGUAGGCGGCUUUGUAAGUUAGAGGUGAAAGCCCGGGGCUCAACUCCGGAACUGCCUUUAAAACUGCAUCGCUUGAAUCCGGGAGAGGUGAGUGGAAUUCCGAGUGUAGAGGUGAAAUUCGUAGAUAUUCGGAAGAACACCAGUGGCGAAGGCGGCUCACUGGACCGGUAUUGACGCUGAGGUGCGAAAGCGUGGGGAGCAAACAGG